rnacentral:rRNA from 1 species
CCUACGGGAGGCAGCAGUGAGGAAUAUUGGUCAAUGGGCGCGAGCCUGAACCAGCCAAGUAGCGUGAAGGAUGACUGCCCUACGGGUUGUAAACUUCUUUUAUAAAGGAAUAAAGUGAGGCACGUGUGCCUUGUUGUAUGUAUUUUAUGAAUAAGGAUCGGCUAACUCCGUGCCAGCAGCCGCGGUAAUACGGAGGAUCCGAGUGUUAUCCGGAUUUAUUGGGGUUAAAGGGAGCGUAGGUGGGUUGUUAAGUCAGUGGGGAAAGUUUGCGGCUCAACCGUAAAAGUGCAAUUGAUACUGGCGGCCUUGAGUACAGGAGAGGUAGGCGGAAUUCGUGGUGUAGCGGUGAAAUGCUUAGAUAUCACGAAGAACCCCGAUUGCGAAGGCAGCCUACUAGACUGCCACUGACGCUGAUGCACGAAAGUGUGGGUAUCGAACAGGAUUAGAUACCCGUGUAGUC